UGUAUCUGAAGCCUGACGAGGAUGAGAACCUCCGGGGGCAAGAGGUUCGACCCGAGCGAAGCGAGAGAACGUUGCUUCAGCAACGGCCCGCAGGGCGAGCCACGCAGUGGCGAGUCAUCCUCUAUCACCGGCAG
rnacentral:sRNA from 5 species